GAUGAACGCUGGCGGCGUGCCUAAUACAUGCAAGUCGAGCGAACAGACGAGGAGCUUGCUCCUCUGACGUUAGCGGCGGACGGGUGAGUAACACGUGGAUAACCUACCUAUAAUACUGGGAUAACUUCGGGAAACCGGCGCUAAUACCGGAUAAUAUAUUGAACCGCAUGGUUCAAUAGUGAAAGACGGUUUUGCUGUCACUUAUAGAUGGAUCCGCGCCGCAUUAGAUAGUUGUUAAGGUAACAGCUUACCAAGGCAACGAUGCGUAGCCGACCGGGGAGGGUGAUCGGCCACAUGGGAACUGGGACACGGUCAAGACUACUACGGGAGGCAGCAGUAGGGAAUGGGACGCAGUGGGCGAGAGCCUGACAGAGCAACGGCAAGUGAGUGAUGAAGGUCUUCGGUGCGUAAAGCUGUGUUAUUAGGGAAGAACAAAUGUGUAAGUAACUAUGCACGUCUUGACGGUACCUAAUCAGAAAGCCACGGCUAACUACGUG
rnacentral:rRNA from 1 species